rnacentral:rRNA from 1 species
AACGAACGCUGGCGGCAUGCCUAACACAUGCAAGUCGAACGAGACCUUCGGGUCUAGUGGCGCACGGGUGCGUAACGCGUGGGAACCUGCCCUUAGGUUCGGAAUAACUCCCCGAAAGGGGUGCUAAUACCGGAUAAUGUCUUCGGACCAAAGAUUUAUCGCCUUUGGAUGGGCCCGCGUUGGUUUAGCUAGUUGGUAGGGUAAAAGCCUACCAAGGCGACGAUCCAUAGCUGGUCGGAGAGGAUGAUCAGCCACACUGGGACUGAGACACGGCCCAGACUCCGACGGGAGGCAGCAGUGGGGAAUAUUGGACAAGGGGCGAAAGCCUGAUCCAGCAAUGCCGCGUGAGUGAUGAAGGCCUUAGGGUUGUAAAGCUCUUUUACACGGGAUGAUAAUGACAGUACUGGGAGAAUAAGCUCCGGCUAACUACGUG